GAUUCAUGACUGGGGUGAAGUCGUAACAAGGUAGCCGUAGGGGAACCUGCGGCUGGAUCACCUCCUUAAUCGAAGA
rnacentral:rRNA from 1 species